CACCACUCUUGCUGGGAAUUGGUGGAGUAGACAUGUUUGAAGUCAUUCUCUGGGUGCUUGCGAUUGAGAAUAUGAGAUGAGAAUUGAGUUCAGUCUUAUCCUUCUGAAAGCAUGCUGGAAGAGAAGAUGCAGGACUACGUCACCUGGAAAGCAUACAAAUCUCUUCUGAUCAAUGGACCACAUUAGCUAUUUGAAAAUUGGUACCUACAGGAGCUUUACAAAUCCUCUUGAGGCAAAGGAAUAAUUUUAGACUUAGAAACACAUCUGCUGCAGAGGACAAAAUACUAUUUUGAUAGGUCAUCAUAUGUUUGUACCGAAAAUAAUGUGAUCUAGGUUGUUAUUUUUCCUCUAAGCCACUUUGCUUGGAAUACACACUAUAAAAGUAUAUUUGAUUUUAAGCCUAACAUUUCUACAGAUAUUUUAAUAAAAUGCUCCAAUUCAUGAA